UACGUAGGGUGCGAGCGUUGUCCGGAAUUAUUGGGCGUAAAGAGCUUGUAGGUGGUUUGUCGCGUCUGCUGUGAAAAUCCGAGGCUCAACCUCGGACUUGCAGUGGGUACGGGCAGACUAGAGUGUGGUAGGGGAGACUGGAAUUCCUGGUGUAGCGGUGAAAUGCGCAGAUAUCAGGAGGAACACCAAUGGCGAAGGCAGAUCUCUGG
rnacentral:rRNA from 1 species